AACAAAGGAUAAGAAGGGGGUUCGAGAAGGAGAAAGAACAUCCACCGACCACCGCUUAUUAUUUACGAACAUAUCUAAAACUAAAGUCAACACUCGAAACCCUUGAAAACCACAUCUCACUCCAUCUCUCUCUCCUUCUGCUUUCUGUUAAAGUGCCGAUCAGGCUUCCUCUUGCCAUAAGAUUUUAACUGAUUCAACCGUCGAUUUCUGGACAAAUAUGGCUCGCGGCAACCAGAGGGAAACUGAUCGUCAAAGAGCUGCAGCUCGGAACGCCAAGAAGGCCGGAAAAACGAAAGAUGAUGGAUUGACACCGGAGCAACGCCGUGAAAGGGAUGCGAAAGCGCUGCAAGAAAAGACUGCCAAGAAGGCAGCACAGGCGGCAGGAGGCGGCCUCACUGGAAGCAAAACCAGCAAUAAAUGAGAAUUUGAUGUCAUGAAUCAUGAUACAUUGGUGCUGUAGCCGUGGUGGAAAUCACAAGUGCAGAUAGUCGGAGUAGAAGUUGGUGGUAUCGGUGUGGUGGAGUCGAAAUAUGACUGUCCAUGUCUUAAUGUGAUGAACUGGUAUUCUACUACUCUGGGGAGGGCGUGGAAGUCUGCAGCGCUCAUCAGCGUGUGUAAUCGAACCAUGCAGCGCUCAUCAGCAUGUGUAAUCGAACCAUGCAGCGCUCAUCAGCAUGUGUAAUCCAACGAAGCAGUCGUCAGUAGUGCUAUUUGAACUUCCUUCGAUUUAACAAAACCACUCCUAGUAUAUUUUGGCAAUGGAUUGUUUAUGAGCAUACUAGUACAUAUGUAAUCAAGAUAAACAAUUUGUUAAGGGACGUUACAAACAAGCUUAAAAGCUAACAAAUCAAUCAAGUAAAUGUGUCAUACACCUGCUUAGCUACAUUUCUCAGUAGGUUUCUUUACCAAUGAACGGAAGAUUUAUUAUGAAGCGCAUUGCAGUA